UACGUAGGGUGCAAGCGUUGUCCGGAAUUAUUGGGCGUAAAGAGCUCGUAGGCGGUCAGUCGCGUCUGCUGUGAAAACUCGGGGCUUAACUCCGGGCCUGCAGUGGGUACGGGCUGACUAGAGUGCGGUAGGGGAGACUGGAAUUCCUGGUGUAGCGGUGAAAUGCGCAGAUAUCAGGAGGGACACCGGUGGCGAAGGCGGAUCUCUGGGCCUGUCCUGACGCUGAGGCGCGAAAGCUAGGGGAGCGAACGGG
rnacentral:rRNA from 1 species